rnacentral:rRNA from 1 species
GAUGAACGCUGGCGGCGUGCCUAAUACAUGCAAGUCGAGCGAACGGACGAGAAGCUUGCUUUUCUGAUGUUAGCGGCGGACGGGUGAGUAACACGUGGAUAACCUACCUAUAAGACUGGGAUAACUUCGGGAAACCGGAGCUAAUACCGGAUAAUAUUUUGAACCGCAUGGUUCAAAAGUGAAAGACGGUCUUGCUGUCACUUAUAGAUGGAUCCGCGCUGCAUUAGCUAGUUGGUAAGGUAACGGCUUACCAAGGCAACGAUGCAUAGCCGACCUGAGAGGGUGAUCGGCCACACUGGAACUGAGACACGGUCCAGGCUCCUACGGGAGGCAGCAGUAGGGAAUCUUCCGCAAUGGGCGAAAGCCUGACGGAGCAACGCCGCGUGAGUGAUGAAGGUCUUCGGAUCGUAAAACUCUGUUAUUAGGGAAGAACAUAUGUGUAAGUAACUGUGCACAGCUUGACGGUACCUAAUCAGAAAGCCACGGCUAACUACGUG